UAAAAUUCUGUUUUCUGUUUAUAAACCAUAGUGUUGUUCAUUAAUUAAUAAUGUAUGUUUGUUUUUGAAAUUACUUCAGUAAAAACAACAGAAAGCUUUCUAGGUUGUUCAGUUUCUUAAUCAAAAUAAAAGUAGGUAUCAAAAGAACUAAAAAUUGUCAGUAAGAAUAUUUAAAAUUUAAAUAUAACAAUGAACAAAGUAAAUGCGACUUUAAAGUUCUGUUUUCUGUUUAUAAACCAUAGUGUUGUUCAUUAAUUAAUAAUACAUGUUUGUUUUUGAAAUUACUUCAGUAAAAACAACAGAAAGCUUUCUAGGUUGUUCAGUUUCUUAAUCAAAAUAAAAGUAGGUAUCAAAAGAACUAAAAAUUGUCAGUAAGAAUAUUUAAAAUUUAAA